rnacentral:rRNA from 1 species
UACGUAGGGGGCGAGCGUUGUCCGGAAUCAUUGGGCGUAAAGCGCGUGUAGGCGGCCCGGUAAGUCCGCUGUGAAAGUCCAGGGCUCAACCCUGGGAUGCCGGUGGAUACUGUCGGGCUCGAGUCCGGAAGAGGCGAGUGGAAUUCCUGGUGUAGCGGUGAAAUGCGCAGAUAUCAGGAGGAACACCCAUUGCGAAGGCAGCUCGCUGGGACGUUACUGACGCUGAGACGCGAAAGCGUGGGGAGCAAACAGG